ACACCCUUAGAAUAGAAUGCUUCUCCAACUUUCUUUUUUGUUUUCCAACAUAAAAAUUGGCAACAACAAAGAAUUAGUAAAUACAAAACCAGUUAGAAAAAACAUCGGAAAAUGGUUGCUGUUGCCAGUUGUUGAACUUAACCCUUUCAUAUUUGGCCAUGACAAUAUUGACCAACACGGUUCAACCAGAAUGCUUGCUUCUGUCCCCAAGAAUGCCUCGAAGAAUACUCAGAGAGAAAUCUCCUAGUCCUUCACGCCAUAACCCUGGAGUGUUCUUCUUCCUUGGAGGGAUUGUAGUGCUCAUCAUAUUGCGGAUUCUUGUGUUUAUAUUUUGGAGGCGUAUUAAACGGCCAGCAAAGGUGAUGAGAACACAGCUCUGACAAGUCAACAGAAUGGACCAAUGGAGUUCAUUAGUGGGAACCUUCGGACAUUUAGCUACUUUGACUUCCGGACAUUGAGGAGAGCCACUAAGAAUUUCCAUCCUCGAAAUCUUCUUGGAAGUGGUGGAUUUGGGCCUGUCUAUCAGGUAUAGGGAAAGUUGGCAGAUGGAAGACUUAAGUCAAGACAUUGUCUCCUGACAAGUCUCAACAAGGAGAAAAAGAAUUUCUGGCAGAAGUGAGAAUGAUCACAAGCAUCCAACACAAAAAUCUGGUUCGCCUUCUCGGAUGUUGCUCAGAUGGCCCUCAAAGGAUACUAUGAAGAACAAAAGUUUGGACCUCAUAAUAUAUGUUAUCCUUCUUUAUUUCAUAUCAACUGUCACUCUUGUCAGCAUGCUGUCUAUUAUAUGUAAAAUAAGUACUUUCGUUGAAAUUGUAGAUCUUGUGUAUACUGUAUAUCAUGUCCAAUGUGUCAUGAGUAAUUCAAAGAACUGAAUAGUUUUAAGGAAAUAGUAAUUCCUAAUUUGGAUGCAUCUGUGAUCGGGAAAGAGUGAUCAAUUUCUGAAAUGGAGCACUAGAUUCCAAACUAUUCUUGGUGUAGCACGGGGAUUACAAUACCUUCACGAGGAUUCACUUUUAAGAAUUGUUCACCGAGACAUCAAAGCGAGCAACAUUCUUCUUGAUGAAAAGUUUCAGCCUAGGAUUGGAGACUUUGGGCUAGCUAGGUUCUUCCCUGAAGACCAAGCUUACCUUAGCACUCAGUUCGCAGGAACAUUAGGUUAUACAGCUCCCGAGUAUGCCAUUAGAGGAGAAUUGUCUGAAAAGGCAAACAUCUAUUGUUUUGGAGUUCUUGUGCUUGAAAUCAUCAGUUGUAGGAAAAAUACUUUACCAUCAGAACAGCAGUACCUACCCGAAUAUGUAAGUUAUCAACAUGAUUGCGGUUGCGGUCGCAAUUGUAGUCAGUGAAAAAACUAAACCUUUAUGUUGCGGGUAAUUGCAGAAAAAAUGCGGCCGCAAUUACGGUAAUGAUAUAAUUGCAGUGAUUCAAAAUACUUUUAGGUUGUGGCCGCAAUUGCGGAUGCAAACCGCAAUUAAAACCAUGGUUAUCACUAAAUUCUACUAAACUUUCACUUAUUAUUUGUACAACUAUACCAUGUUGUCCCUCAGAUGAUGCUUGUAUAAAUGAAUCUUGAUCACAGGCAUGGAAACUUUAUGAGAAGUCAAUGUUGGUAGAGAUUGUGAAUCCAAAACUGCGGGAACAUGGCAUAGAAGAAAAGGAUGUCAUGCAAACAUUCCACGUGGCCUUGUUAUGCCUUUAGCCACACGCGGAUUUGAGGCCUGCCAUGUCAGAGAUCGUAGCAAUGUUGACAUUCAAAGUUGAAAUGGUUACAACCAAGCAAUGGGGAGGGGCGGCGACCGGUAUGGUCUCCCCAACUCCCCAAACAUAUCCUCCUAUUCAUAUUGGAUGAGGUUAAAAUUUAUUAUCUCAUUCUUGGGUAGUAGGUA